GAGCCGUUGCCACCGGGCACACUCAGGCCAAGUCAAGCAGAAUGCUGCCAGUAAGAUGGAAGAAUUGGAGCAACCGGUGUGGAAUAACUGGGAGAAAGAGACCCCGGUAACCUGAUUUGCAUCAGAGGAUCUGUUUAUGACACACCUGGAUUUGGCAGUGAGGUCCUUGGGUUAUGAACUUCCUCUGUUUCUCUU